rnacentral:rRNA from 1 species
GACAGGUGCUGCAUGGCUGUCGUCAGCUCGUGUUGUGAAAUGUUGGGUUAAGUCUCGCAACGAGCGCAACCCCUAUCUUUAGUUGCCAGCGUUAAGUUGGGCACUCUAGAGAGACUGCCUGGGUUAACCGGGAGGAAGGUGGGGAUGACGUCAAGUCCUCAUGGCCCUUAUGCCUAGGGCUACACACGUAAUACAAUGGUUGAUACAAAGGGAAGCGAUCGCGCGAGCGUUAGCAAAUCUCAGAAAGUCAAUCUCAGUCCGGAUUGGAGUCUGCAACUCGACUCCAUGAAGUUGGAAUCGCUAGUA